rnacentral:tRNA from 1 species
GAGGGUACAGCUCAGUGGUAGAGUGCCUGCCUAGCAUGCAUUGAGGUCCUGGGUUCAAUACCCAGUACCUCUA